rnacentral:lncRNA from 1 species
GUGACUGCUAUUCCACAACCCUUCAAGAUCCUUAACAAGUUGUUCUCUACCAACGGAGUGAAUGAUCUUGUUCACUUAGCUUUUAUUCCUACUGAUGUUGAGAUAGAUGAAGCACCAAAUCCUUCAGUUGUGGCUGCUGAAACAGGAAACUCUUGGAACUUUUGAGGAGUGAGCUGGACUCUUUAUCAGUAGAGAUGCAGAGACUUGCAGCGAAAAAGGCUAAACUUGCUGAGAUUAUUUGCAAUCUAGAGAAGACACCCUGGUAGGGAAGUUGAUUUGGCCUUUUGAUAAAAAAAAGGGG